UACGUAGGUCCCGAGCGUUGUCCGGAUUUAUUGGGCGUAAAGCGAGCGCAGGUAGUUUAUUAAGUCUGGUGUAAAAGGCAGUGGCUCAACCAUUGUAUGCAUUGGAAACUGGUAGACUUGAGUGCAGGAGAGGAGAGUGGAAUUCCAUGUGUAGCGGUGAAAUGCGUAGAUAUAUGGAGGAACAUCGGUGGCGAAAGCGGCUCUCUGGCCUGUAACUGACACUGAGGCUCGAAAGCGUGGGGAGCAAACAGG
rnacentral:rRNA from 1 species